GAGCACUUGAUACUAACCGAGCCAUCUGUAUCCCAGGUCUUGUGCAGGUCUGAGGUACACCUUGUGAUUGCUGGGUCUGAAAAGUGCAACAUUAAAACAAGCCAUGAAGUGUUUAAGCUCAGUGUAUAAAGGAUAACACUGGGUUAUAACUCAGAGGCACAGAA
rnacentral:snoRNA from 1 species